rnacentral:rRNA from 1 species
AUUGAACGCUGGCGGCAGGCCUAACACAUGCAAGUCGAGCGGAUGAAGGGAGCUUGCUCCUGGAUUCAGCGGCGGACGGGUGAGUAAUGCCUAGGAAUCUGCCUGGUAGUGGGGGAUAACGUCCGGAAACGGGCGCUAAUACCGCAUACGACCUGAGGGAGAAAGUGGGGGAUCUUCGGACAUCACGCUAUCAGAUGAGCCUAGGUCGUAUUAGCUAGUUGGUGGGGUAAAGGCCUACCAAGGCGACGAUCCGUAACUGGUCUGAGAGGAUGAUCAGUCACACUGGAACUGAGACACGGUCCAGACUCCUACGGGAGGCAGCAGUGGGGAAUCUUGGACAAUGGGCGAAAGCCUGAUCCAGCCAUGCCGCGUGUGUGAAGAAGGUCUUCGGAUUGUAAAGCACUGUAAGUUGGGAGGAAGGGCAGUAAGUUUAUACCUGGCUGUUUUGACGGUACCAACAGAAUAAGCACCGGCUAACUUCGUG